rnacentral:lncRNA from 1 species
UGUAACAGUUCACUCAUGCCAGUGGGAAACAAUUAAACAGCGAGAGAUCACGCUCGUGCCGUCGAAGGCGUUGUUUAGCAGAGAACCAAGCCAAGUCCAUAGCUGCUGCGCAAAAGAGAAAGUGAGGAACAGAUACACUGUGUUUUCCGAUUGGCAAAGACAAAGAGGACAGGCCAAGACAGUAAUGCAUUCUCGUUUCGACAAGUUUUCGUCAGUUGGCAUCCGAUUGUGUAUGCAGCGCCAA